rnacentral:rRNA from 1 species
UAAUACAUAAGUAACCUGGCCUUUACAGGGGGAUAACUGUUGGAAACGAUAGCUAAGACCGCAUAGGUGUCAUAACCGCAUGGAGAUGAUAUGAAAUAUGCUACGGCAUAGGUAGAGGAUGGACUUAUGGCGCAUUAGCUAGUUGGAGGGGUAACGGUCCACUAAGGCGACGAUGCGUAGCCGACCUGAGAGGGUGACCGGCCACACUGGGACUGAGACACGGCCCAGACUCCUACGGGAGGCAGCAGUAGGGAAUUUUCGGCAAUGGGGGAAACCCUGACCGAGCAACGCCGCGUGAAGGAAGAAGUAAUUCGUUAUGUAAACUUCUGUCAUAGAGGAAGAACGGUGCGUGUAGGGAAUGACAUGCAAGUGACGGUACUCUAUAAGAAAGCCACGGCUAACUACGUGCCAGCAGCCGCGGUAAUACGUAGGUGGCGAGCGUUAUCCGGAAUUAUUGGGCGUAAAGAGGGAGCAGGCGGCACUAAGGGUCUGUGGUGAAAGAUCGAAGCUUAACUUCGGUAAGCCAUGGAAACCGUAGAGCUAGAGUGUGUGAGAGGAUCGGGGAAUUCCAUGUGUAGCGGUGAAAUGCGUAGAUAUAUGGAGGAACACCAGUGGCGAAGGCGACGAUCUGGCGCAUAACUGACGCUCAGUCCCGAAAGCGUGGGGAGCAAAUAGGAUUAGAU